UCCGCUCCGGGAAGGACCGGAGCGCCUGUGCGCGCGUUCCCACACGCGAUGGGGAGGGGGCAGCGCCGCGCGGGCCGGUGCUGCUGCCGUCACUAUUCCCACCGGGAAACCGGCAGCCCUGCCUCGGGCACGCCGGUGGCUGGAGCGGGGACGCGGCCGGGGCGGGGUACGACAGCGGGCAGCCCCUCGCUGUUACGCGUUGAGGGAGCUGAGGAAUGAAGCGGUUCCUCCGAGACCUGGAGGGCUGUCCAAGGACGCCUUGGGCUGUGUCCUAAGGAAAUCGUCCUACGGAGAGCCCCGGGUGAGAGCUCCGGAAAGCGUUUAGGAGAUCAGACAUGGUUACUUAAUGCUCUUGCCAGCAGCUCGGAAGAGAUGCGUCUGGCCCCGAGUCUGCCAGGACAUGGAAGGGCCUUGCCGGGAGCCCUGCAGAGCAGCCUCGGGCAGAGCUUAACCCCUACAGGAUUUAGACUCGGGCUGAGGACUAGCGUGGAGCUGCCCGGCUGUUUGCUCUGCCCGCGGCUCUGUUUAAAAACCGUACUAGGUUUUCGCGCAGACGUGCUUUCUGACAGGGUUUGGAGAUGUACUUCGUUCCAAGAGCAGGUGAACUAAAUACUGUGUUUAGUUUGGGGGUGGGCGUUACCAACCGAGUACAGUUUGAGUGACCAGGCGUCACCCAGACAAGGCCAAAGUGUCUGUAUUUGUGUGCUGUUAAACACCUGUAUGAAUCCUGAUGAGGGAGCAGGGAGUGGUUCCCGAGCUGCAGGAGUGUUAAUUGGCAAAAAGGAAACAGCCAGUCAUGUUUAAUCACGCAUGGAAGAGUGUGACCUUUGAUUUCUCCAGUGUAAUUUAGAGGGAAAGGCUGAGGUUUUUCUUUGAACCGAGCAGCAGGGGAAAAAUAAAAUGAAGGGUUAUCAAGUUCAAAUAUAUUCAUUUGAGAGAAUGGUCUCAUCCUUUUCUCUCUGAUUUGCUGCUAUUGCUAGUUAUUUUUAAGUGCAAGAUGGGUGUUUGACUUUCUUCCUUUUCUUCCUGUCUGUGGCCACUCCCAUAUCUCGACUGACACUGAAGCAGGUUGGGACCAUGAGGGAGACUGGUGUUACUAGGAAGGACCUUGGGAUCAAAGCAGCAAACACCCCUGCUUAGCACCUGAGUGCUUGUGCAAAUGGACUGGCUUCACUGUAGGUGCAGUGAGGAGCACUGGUGGGGAAGAGGCACAGGUUGCUUCUCUCUUCUCUGGGAAGUCAAGAGCAGAAUCCUUCAGAGCAGGACCUGCUAAGAGCCUGAAAGUAUCCUUUUGAGACUGUUUUCCUAAAGGAAGAAAGCAUACGCUCUUACGGGUUUUACAUGUGUUAAAUUUGUUCUCAUACUUCUGAUCAGUAACUUUGAAACCUGUUGGCCUGUUUUAGUUAGAUUUGAUAAACUCCACAGCAAACUUCCUGCAGGUAGUAGAUAGCUAGUUACAGGAAAGGGACCCUAUAAAUAUCCUGAUUCAGGAAAAAGAUGCACUGUGCAUGUAUUAAACUCUGGGAACAUCACAUAAGGAAAAAUGUCAUAUGAGUACUCAUCUAGAUGAAAAUUUUCAGUAAGAACUCAAUUUUUCAGGAACAGAGAUUCAUAGGGGACCAUAGUUCAUUCAUUCUGCACCUCACAAAACUGCUACUUUUAUUUCAUUAUGAUGUAGAUGGGAGGAAAAAUUUAUUUAAUUGAUUUAAAUUUAAUUUAGGAAAUACUGUAAAAUAGUUGAUCUAGUGCAUCUAGCAGAUUUAGGAACUAGGAUUCAGAAGUCAGUGUGCUGUUGGGUCCCUGAUAGUAAGAGAAAUUAGCCCUAGCAAAGAGACAGUGGUGCAGCACCUGAAAUCAGACAAGGUUCUGAACAGAGCUAAAAUAAAAAAGAUGGGGAUCCAGGGCACUUUAUCUAUGGGGAAUGUUGUGGUUCCUGGGGUCCUUCCAUGCAGCUCAGAGUAGACUAAGGGGAGAUGGUCUAACUGUAGACUUCAAUUAUUUGUAGGAGAGUUACAGAGAGUGGAAGGAAACCGCUGGUAGUAAUCGAUGGUAAGAAAAAGGCAGAGAGGAUGGAUGGAAAUUGUAUUCUGGGAAACUCAGGUGAAAUUUCUUCGUAAGGUGAGUAUGACAGCACUGGGCACAAGUUAUUGAAAGAAAUGGUAAAGACUCCAUCACAGAAGGUUUCUAAGUGUCAUGUAGACAACAGCACUAAUUCCCAGGGGGAGGUGGACUAGACACCUCCAGAGGUCUUCAGCCAUCAUUUCUGUGGUCCUUUACCUUCUAUCCAGAUGAGGAUGCAAGAAAACAGCUUGUAUGAGCAAAGCUGUCACUUAAAAGAGUAGCAACUUUUAUCUCAUCUCAACUUUACCAGAGGACAUAUGAACAUAUUCUUAGUCAUUGUUCAAUUCCUUGUACAGAAAAAUGGUUUUAUUAAGGCGAUUAUUAUUUGCUGAGUAUAAAUAAUGAAACUUAUUUUGUACUGUGCUGAACUUGGGUCAGACACAUGCCUCCUACAGAUCUGCAGCACUAUGCUAUAGAUUAUUUUCAACAAACUUUGGUUGUUAGAAUUUACAGAGGCAUCAGCAGACAAUGGAUAACUGUCACUGGUUUUCUCUAAGUCUCUUGCAUAAAGAUUACAGUAAUUUCA